UUGCUGAUAAUAAAAAUUUCAGAGGUUUUAUGAGCAUGGAGGUGAGAUGCAAGUUGCUCAAGAUGCACAAUUAAGGCCUUCCAUGGACAUAUUUGCAGUAGGGUGAGCCUUCUAAGCUAUAACCAUAAUUAUAUUCAUAUACACUUGCAUAAAAGGAAGUUCCAGUUAUCAUUUAUGUUAAAGGCAAACAACAUACUUAGAGUGCUCAAAUUUUUGUUUUCCGGUUAAUUUCUACUCACAGGGAUUACUAGAAUUUAGCUCAGAAGGUCUUGAAAACUAAACAUGACAUCAGAUUUACCAUGUACUGGUUAGCAAAAUGGUGCAAGAUUGAAGGUGUAUGAUAUUUAAUCCUAUGUUUUGGGGAAAGACAACAGAUGUCAGGGAGAGAACACAGUGAAAGCUUCUUUCUAUGUAUGCAAUUGUUGAAUGUUCUUUUCAUGUUAUUAUUGGCCCUUUUAUCAGCUA
rnacentral:lncRNA from 1 species